AGAGGUCGGCAACGACCACCCAGAGCCGGAAAGUUGGUCAAACUCGGUCAUUUAGAGGAAGUAAAAGUCGUAACAAGGUCUCCGUAGGUGAACCUGCGGAGGGAUCAUU
rnacentral:rRNA from 1 species